UACCACUUCCGGGUACAUCGGCAGACUUAUUUACCGUUACGCAUAUAGGUAACCCGAAGAACUCGAGGGAUAUAGAAGUUAAAUUUGUUUCGGUCCUCUUCAGAUUUGAAAGAAUGGAUAGCACGGGUCAAAAAAUGCAGAUGUAUAGACAAGGAGGUAUAUGACAAGUAUAGAAUAUACAGUUGUUCAAUAUGGACCAUUAAUCAACUGUUUGCACUGCCUAUGAUCCUGAAAUAUCUAUACAUCAAAGAUAAAAAGGGAAAAGAUGAAGGAGGAUUUGUCCAUGAAGACCUUUAUUGCAACUACCAUCUUCCAGUUCCUUAAUUUGAGAAUGAUAUCAGAGAACACAAAGUUACAGUGAAAUAUUAGUUUAAUAUAAGCCACUGAGAAUAGUCAAAUGUACUUUCCUGAAGAAGAUGAAUGACAUCCAGCACAAAAAUAUUAAUGUAUAAAGAGUAUGAUUUUAUGGUGUUUGACACUAUGAUCUUGUUAACAUGUUAAUGCCACAAUGAUAGAAACAGAGUAAAAUAUCCACAUUUCAUUGCAGUUUUAAGUAUUAAAACUAGAUACUCUAUAUAUACCAAAGCUGAUAACACACCAGAGAAAAGGUUUUUCAUGGAAUCACAGUAUAGUCAUAUGACAUUAUGGACAUUAAAUGACUAUGAAGUAAAGAUUAGCAAAAAUAUUAUAUAUCAUGUACUACUAAUAUUGUGAGGUAAUCAUUGAUAA